rnacentral:rRNA from 1 species
GUUAAGUUCUUGAAAUUUAAAAAAUUUGGCGGUAUUUUAGUCUUUUUAGAGGAACCUGUUGUGUAAUUGAUAGUCCACGUUUAAUUGUCCUUUCUUUACAAGUUUGUAUAUCGUCGUAGUUGAAUAUCUUAUAAGAGUAAAAUAUUCAAAAUUUAAAAUUAUAUAGAAAAGCAGAUCAAGGUGCAGUUUAUAAGGGAGAAUUAAAUGGGUUACAAUAAAAUUAUUUAAACGGUAAAAAUAAUUAAAAUUAUUUUUUAAGGGGGAUUUAAAAGUAAUAUUGUUUAAUUAAAUAGUAUGAUUAUAGCUCUAAAAUAUGCACAUAUUGCCCGUCACUUUCAUUUAUGAUGAAAUAAGUCGUAACAAAGUAAGUGGACUGGAAAGUGUACUUAGGAUGGGCAAAUUAGAGCUUGGUUAAGCCUUUUAUUUACCUUAAAAAGUUAAUUGGUAAAUUCAAUUUAAUUUGAAUUUAAUUAUUUAUUAAUUGAAUUUUAAAAAAAAAAUUUUUAAAGAA